rnacentral:rRNA from 1 species
UACGUAGGGUCCGAGCGUUGUCCGGAGUUACUGGGCGUAAAGCGCGCGCAGUCGGCGGUGCUGGCCCGGCGUGAAAGCCCCCGGCUCAACCGGGGAGAGUCGUCGGGGACCGCACCGCUUGAGGGCGGUAGGGGCUGGUGGAAUGCCUGGUGUAGUGGUGAAAUGCGUAGAGAUCAGGCAGAACACCUGGGGCGAAGGCGGCCAGCUGGGCCGUCCCUGACGCUGAGGCGCGAAGGCGUGGGGAGCGAACGGG